CCCAUGUAAAGGCUACACACGCCUGUAUGGAGGGGACACACGCUCGUGUGAGCAGCCAGUGGAAGUCACUGUCCAAAAGUGCUAAAAUUGAGUGCAGAGUAGAUAUGCCGUAUGGAAAUCUCACACACAAAUGUGACUAGGGGACACGCUCGUGUGGAAAUCGAAAAAACCCCUAAAUCAGCGACACGGUUAUGUGGCACCAAAAUUUUCCCAAAAACCCUAAUUCCCAAAUGCACAUGCCCAUGUGGUUACGAAACCACCCUAAAACAACCCAAAAAACAUGAAUUCCGACAUCAAAUGAUCCUUAACCUCUAAUAGUGCAGAAAAACACCCUAACUAGUCGAAUUUUUACUCAAUUUAACAGUGAUACAACAUUACGAUCACGCAAUCACCGGAACACACGAAAUUACUGUUUUUCACAAAAUUGAUUCAUUAAUUCACGAAUAAAUUUAAAAAUUUACGAAACCCACACCUAAAUUCACGAUUUAAACACCCAAAAAUGAUCGACGCCUCAAAUCCACCAAUUCUAAAAACUCCUGUCGACGAGAUUAUAAAACGCAACAAAAGAAAUAGAGUAGAAGCAAAAGAGAAGAAAUCCAAUCGAGACGAAAACAAACCACCGAAACGAAGCAGCAGAAGAAAAUCAAAGAUUAAAAGAAAAAGAAGAACGUGUAAGAGAGGGAGAAGAGAACGUAAGAAGGGAUUUUCCUUUUUCCAAAAAAAUAAAAAAUGAAUAAAUAACUAUUUAGAAUUUUAAAACAAAACAAACUAAAUAAAAAAUAGUCCCUCAAAACACACCUGAGAACUCGAACCUAGGACCUAAAGGUACGCUAACACAUAACCAACCAUCAGACCAACAAAAACACACCAACAAACCUAAUUGUUCGAUCUAGGCACUGACUCUACCUACAAAUCUCAAAACUUCUAACCCUAAAUUCCUAGGUGUUACAAUACAACACAAGAGUUAUAAGCAAACAAUACGAUAAGUAGUUAUUCCCGAAUCUAAUGCGAGCUUGUGAAAGGUCUAAUGCUAACUUGAGAUCGAAUCAGGACUAAAUUGUACUGAAACCAUACUAUCGGGAUGACAUCACGACAUGAGGGAGUUAUUCGUCGUGACAUGACAUACUGACUUGGCCCUCGUCAUGGCAACGGGGUUUGUCGUCGUGCUGUGGCUUGGAGCCCAGAUCUCGUCACGAUGACAUACAUGUGACGUCGCGAUGUGACGUACUAUUUCUGCAAUUUCAAGGUGCACAAAACCUACAAUUUUUCUAAGUCUAUUUCUAAUCACAUUCAAACCCUAUUUAGCUAACAUAUGCAAAUUUCAAUCAUCCAUUCAUGAACUUUUAAGCCUAUUCCAAUAAUAUGCAAUUGAUUCAUUUCCUAUAAGUUAACUUUUAAGUCAAAUCAAUCAAGACAUAAACAUUCCUACCUACUUCACUAGGAUCAUUUACAUAUUCAACAUUUUAUACCAUAUUAGCCCAUAUUCAUCAGCCAUUUACAAACUACUAAAAAAUUAACCAAUUUAUAUAUCAACAUUUUAUAAUCAAAAGUGCAAAUAACAUAGUUUAAUACCAAAAUGAUUCAACUUAGGUACAUGCCUUAAUUAACACUAAAACAUAACAUAAGCAAACUUUGUUGAGUCGGG
rnacentral:lncRNA from 1 species